CCGCCUUUGGAGAGGCAGUUCAGGCUAGCAGAUAAUGGGAGAACAUUCAGACCCCAACCUUGCCGGCUAAAUGUAUGGCAUUCGUUCCAGUAUAAUGCAGGAAGGGAAAUACCCUUCGAUGAGAUGACUAAAACCCAACAAAGACGUUUUCAACGAAACUAUGGACGAAUGAUGAGGCAGCAACAGGGAGUGCCACAUCCUAAAGCGCCUAAACUACUCAAGGUAACCAAUCAAAAUGUUCUCAAGGAUAGUAAAGAAACCGGUACAGAUGAAUCAAUGAAAGAGCUGUCAGAAAUUUCUUCUGGGAGAUCAAAGUUUGAGCGAGACAGAAGGGAUGGAGAAGAUCCAGAUCAGCCACUUACUAUCCAGUUUGGUACGUUACCUCCUGUCAUGGCCAAUAAUUACUUACUGGCCAAUAAAUUCAAAAAUAAAGAAAAAGAAGAAGAAGAAAGGGAGGACAACGAAGGAGAGGCUUGCGUGCUGGAAUGUGAAGAAGGCCAUACUUUUAGAAAGGCCUACAACGAUGAAGAAGACGACGGGAUGAUAGACAUCGAAGAAGAAAUCGACCUAGAAGCAGAAAGAAGAAGGAGAGGAGUAUCGCACAAUACUCUGUUGAAGCAACUACAUCGAGAGGGAGUUCGCGAAGUAGACUUGUUGGGAGAAACAUCUGGGCAUCCUUUCGAUUUCUACGUAUUGUACGGGACGCCCAAAAGGAAGAAGAGAGUGCCUCGCUCUGAAAAGUAUGGAUCACCUCCAAGAAUAAUGCCCCCUCCCACAGGUUGGGUAACUAAUGAGGAAGCAUUAGAAAACAGUAAGGAGGAAAUUCAGGAGGCAGAGACAUUGUGAUAUGCUGCACGUCGACUUAUCACAGGGGGAUAAUUCGACAAAAAACAAGUAGGAAGUAGAAAUAGAGGCUGCCGAAAAAGUUAUUUUUAAACGGCCAGCCAUGAAAUUGACUAAACACUUAAGGCCAUUGUACGUUAAAGCUCUAGUUAACGGCAUCCCUGUGGCAAAAGUGCUUAUCGACAAUGGAGCGGCUAUAAACACCAUUCCAUCUAGGAUGAUGAGGAAGUUUGCAAAGACAGAGGGUGACAUGAUUCCAACAGAAGUCAUCCUUACGAGUUUCAAUGGAGGAGCAAUUUCAGCUAAGGGAGUUAUGCCAUUGGACAUAACUAUAGGGACAACUACUAGGACCACAGUCUUCUUUGUAAUAGAUGGUCCUACUAGUUACAAUGUGUUACUAGGAAGAGAUUGGAUACACUGGAGUUGCUGUAUACCCUUAUCGCUCCAUCAAUGCCUGAUUUUUUGGAAUAACAAGGGCGAAGCAGAGGUGGUACAGGCCGAUCAUAGGCCUUUUGUCAUAGAAGCAAACUCAGUGAAAAAGUUCAUGUACGAAGGAAACUAUGGACCUGUCAGGGUAGUACAAGAUGGGGAAGAGACUCAAGUUGUCGCGCAAAGCGAAGAGCCAUUUUCAAUUGACGCACUCACUGAAAUGUUCAGGCAGAUGAGGCCAAAUAUAGUGGCCCUAGAAGAGCCAGUGAUUGGCAAAAGAAUAAUCAAUGAGUCUUGAAUGGAUUCUAAGUUACAAAAGCAAAUGGUCGAUAUUCAGGCCUUCAAAGCUAGACUAAUCACUUUCAAUAAAGAAUGCAAGGACAAAACGAAAGAAGAGGCAGCCCUAAGAGCACUGAAAGACAAAUGGGCAGUAUUCGAGAUGGAACAAAGCAUUGGCCGAGAAGUCAACAAGGUGGACUGUUUAGAAGAAGAAGUACUUACAAAGGAACCGGACGACGAAGUGAUGCGGAUCAUCAAACCUGGACACGCUCAAGCACAAGACCCUCUGAUCAAAGUAAAUAUUGGCAAUGGAGGAGAAGAUCGUCCAACAUUCAUCAGUCAGAUGCUCAAUCAAGAGGUUAGUGAUAAAUUAAUUGCUUUGCUAAAGGAGUAUAAAGAUUGUUUUGCUUGGGAAUACGAACAAAUACCUGGUUUAGAUAGAGACUUGGUGGAACAUAGGUUACCAACUAAGCCUAAUUUUAAAUCUCAUAGGCAGCCUCCUAGACAUUUUGCUCGUAAUGUAAUCCCUGAGAUUAAGAAAGAGA
rnacentral:lncRNA from 1 species